CUUGUUGUAGUUCCUCGUGGUAUAAAAUUGAGUUGCUGAUUUGCAACCUUUCUUCUAUUUGAAGUUAUCAAAAUGACCCCAAGGGAAUCACGCCUCCAGGGAGUAAUGCUCCUCUGAAGUCCCCUCCACUUUGACUCUGGGCUGGGUCCUGUGAUUUGCCCUGCCACUGGGAAAUCAGAAAAUGUGAUGCAAGGCUACAUGCUGGGGUUUGCCUCCUGGAAUUCUGCUGCUACCCUGUGAGAAUGCCCAGUGUGGCCUUGAAGAUGGAAGACUGCCUGAAGAGACACGACCAGCUUUCCCAGUUAUCCCACCAACCUCAUGUCGCCAAAUGAGUAAAUCUAGGGAAAACCAGCAGAACAGCUCGACCAACACACAGAAUGGCAUCACAAGCAUGAGCUUCAAAGCCUGUGGCUGUUUGACACUUAAAGCAACCCAGAGCUGCACAACCCUCAAAAAGGUAAUUCUUUUCAGUGCCCAUUUCAGAAGUGGCCAUGGAGGAUAAAAUACAAGGGAGAAACUCCAAGAGGAAAAGUCCUC
rnacentral:lncRNA from 1 species